AACGAACGCUGGCGGCGGGCUUAACACAUGCAAGUCGAGCGCCCCGCAAGGGGAGCGGCAGACGGGUGAGUAACACGUGGGAAUCUACCCAUCCCUACGGAACAACUCCGGGAAACUGGAGCUAAUACCGUAUACGCCCUUUGGGGGAAAGAUUUAUCGGGGAUGGAUGAGCCCGCGUUGGAUUAGCUAGUUGGUGGGGUAAAGGCCUACCAAGGCGACGAUCCAUAGCUGGUCUGAGAGGAUGAUCAGCCACAUUGGGACUGAGACACGGCCCAAACUCCUACGGGAGGCAGCAGUGGGGAGUAUUGGACAAUGGGCGCAAGCCUGAUCCAGCCAUGCCGCGUGAAUGAUGAAGGCUUUAGGGUUGUAAAGUUCUUUCACCGAUGAAGAUAAUGACGGUAGUCGGAGAAGAAGUCCCGGCUAACUUCGUGCCAGCCGCCGCCGUAAUAC
rnacentral:rRNA from 1 species